rnacentral:lncRNA from 1 species
AGGAAAGGCGAGGCUCUGCAUCUAGAUUUACCUCGUUCUCUUUUGUCUCCGCUUUUUUUUCACAUUUCCUUGCGACCCUGGCCCUUGAGCGACAAAAAGGGGAAGCCAAGGCUGGCCCGAGGAACGGAGAGGGCACAUGGCCUAGCCACAAGUGGAGCUUCUGCUCCGCCCGAAGGGAUGCGCUGGAGCGGCCUCUUCCUUCUGCCACGGUCUUUCUUUGCCAACUAGUAGGUGAGGGCCGAAAGGCCGCGGGCCGUGGAGCUCGGGCCGGGGAGACUCUUUUCUAGCCUCUUGGGUCCCGCUCCUCCCAAUUCCCUGGAGAGGCGUCGAGCUUGCUGGGAAGUGCCCUCGGGUAAGGGGCGCGGAGCCUCCUGCGGCGAUCCUCUGUCUUCGGGUCGCCUUAGCAGGACGCGGCAAGCGGGACACUGACCUGGCCGGAGUCCCGCGUUCUCUCACCAGCUGCUUUGUCCACGAGUUGCUGCUGGGCGUCAGGGGUCCCACGGCCCGGAGGGAUCUAGAGCAGGGGGGCUCGGGGUCCUUUCCAUACCCUCGGAUCCUCUCCCACUCUCUCCACGCCUCGACCCGGAGAUGAUUUCAGGCUCCAGAUCUCUUUCAUAAAUGGAAAGAGUUUUUUUGGUUUGUUUUGUCUUAAUUAUGUAGGUGUUGCAUGCUUGGAAGAGAAAAUUUAGAAAAUUAAUUGGAAAACCAUAAAGAUAGCUUUCUCGUGAUAGCCACAAGGCUUGCUCCCUCAUUCUGCUCAUAUGUCACCCCCUCAAGGAGGCCUUCCCCAGCUCUGUAAACAACCUGUGCUCGGCGUUAACUUUUCUCCCUAAUGUUUAUCACUACCUGACAUAUACGUGUUUCCCACGACUCAACGAUAAGUGUUCAUGAGGGCAGACACUUUUUAAUGCCCUAUGACAAGCACCUAGAAUUGUGCCUGGCACAUGGUAGAUGCUUAGUAAAUAUUUGUUUAAUGAAUGAAGGUAAAAAACAUUUCUAAUACGACCAUCCAGGAAUAAGUACUAUUCAUGUUUUAGUGUGUUCUUACAGUUUUACUGUUCAGACAGUUAUAUGCCUGUGAAUAUAUAUUAUAUAUGUGUGUAUAUAUAUAUAUAUAUAUAUAUAUAUAUUUUUUUUUUUUUUUUGAGACAGAGUCUCGCUCUGUCACCCAGGCUGGACUGCAGUGGCGCGAUCUUGGCUCACUGCAACCUCCGCCUCCUGGAUUCAAGCGAUUCUUCUGCCUCAGCCUCCCGAGUAGCUAGGAUUACAGGCAUGUGUCACCACGCCCGGCUAAUUUUGUAUUUUUAGUAGAGACGGGGUUUCUCCGUGUUGGUCAGGCUGGUCUCGAACUCCUGACCUCAGGUGAUCUGCCCGCCUCGGCCUCCCAAAGUGCUGAGAUUACAGACGUGAGCCACCGUGCCUGGCGGAAUUUUCAUAUUUUAAGUCCCCCACCCUUGGACAUUUAGAUUUUUUCCAUCUUUCUGUAUUUGCAGAUAUGCUUCUACGUACACCUUUAUUCAUUUGCUUGAACAUUUCCCUGAGAAAAACUAGAAAUGGAAUUGCCAGAUUACUUUGUGUACAUGUUUCCAAACUGUCCUCCAGAAAGAAUGUAAUGCUUUGAACUUCCACUUGAGAAUCAAAUGUUUACCUUCCUCUGUUCCUCCAGAUUUGGACAUUUACAGUGUUCAGCCGUUGUUGUGGCAUUCCAAUUCAAUUGGGAAACAGCUUGAUGUAGCGUCCCCAUAAGGUCCACAGUAAUUAAAUUUUUUUUUUUUUUUUUUGGUGCGGUAGUGCAAUUUCAUGGCUCACUGCAACCUCCACCUCCCAGGUUCAAGCGAUCCUCCCAUCUCAGCCUCCCUAGUAGCUGGGAUUACAGGUGCACGCCACCACACCAGGCUAAUUUUUGUAUUUUUAGUAGAGAUGGGGUUUCACCAGGUUAGCCAGGCUGGUCUUGAACUCCAGACCUCAAGGGAUCCGCCUGCCUCAGCUUUCCAAAGUGCUGGGAUUACAGGUGAGAACCACUGCACCCAUCCUAUUAAACUUUUAAAUCAUGAUAGUUACCAUGUAUAGAGUGUUUAUAUGCCAGGCAUUGAGCUAAGUCUUUUACGUCUUGCGCUCAUUCUGUGCAACAGCCCAAUGGGAGAAAUUCCAUGAAUAUAGUUACCAUUUCCUUGAUUUCUAGAGAAGCUGGAUAUGUUUUCUUUUUUUCCAGUAUUAUUUCUAUUUAUCCUUUUGUGAAUUGUCUGUUGUUAUUUUCAUUGGAAUAUUCUCUUUUUUUGACAGAGUCUCACUCUGUUGCCCAGGCUGGAGUGCAAUGGCACGAUCUCGGCUCAUUGCAAACCUCUGCCUCCUGGGUUCAAGCAAUUCUCCUGCCUCAGCCUCCCAAGUAGCUGGGAUUACAGGCACCCGCCACCACGCCCAGCUAAUUUUUUGUAUUUUUAGUAGAGACGGGGUUUUGCCAUGUUGGCCAGGCUGGUCUCGAACUCCUGACCUCAGGUGAUCCACCCAUUUCGGCCUCCCAAAGUACUGGGAUUACAGGUGGAGACUGGACCUCAGAAGAGGGAGUGGGUGCCCCGAGAACUCACAGCUAGCGGACAGUGGAAAGGGCAGGAGCCGGACCAAGGUGAGGACAGUGGAACUGAAGGCCGCUGGUUACCUCUCCUGCCCUCCGCUGGCCACAGUGGAGAAGACAGCCCCUCCCUCCUGCUCUGACCUGACAGUGUUCAUCCAUCGCCCUGUAUUAGCGAAGAACAACAUCAAGCUGGCUAGCAAGGAACUGUAUACAGGGUCCAGCUGGGUAUCACACUGGAUCUCACCCAAAGCUUAGAUGUGAUCCAGCUCAGUAUCACAAAGCAGAACGAAAAGGAUGUGUUUGGGCUGAGAGGCCAUACAUUGAUGGAGUCUUGCUCUGUCGCCCAGGCUGGAGUCCAGUGGCGCGAUCUCGGUUCACUGCAAGCUCUGCCUCCCGAGUUCAUGCCAUUCUCCUGCCUCAGCCUCCUGAGUAGCUGGGACUACAGGCACCUGCCACCACGGCUGGCUAAUUUUUUUUUUUUUUUUUUUGAAAUGGAGUCUUGCUCUGUUGCCCAGGCUG